rnacentral:SRP_RNA from 2 species
UGGUGGCACCCACCUGUCAUCCCAGCUACUCAGAAGGCAGGAGGAUCACUUGGGCCCAGGAGUUCUGGGCUUUAGUGCACUAUGCCGAUCAGGUGUCUGCGCUAAGUUUGGCAUUAAUAUGGUGGCCUCUCUGGAGAGGGGGACCACCGGGUUGCCUAAGGGAGGGUGAGCAGGCCCAGGUAGGAAAUGGAGCAAGUCAGAGCUCCUGUGCUGGACAAUAGUGGGAUCAGCCACUGUACUCAGACCUGGGGAACAACAUAGUGAGACCUCGUCUCU